UGGGGAAUCUUCCGCAAUGGACGAAAGUCUGACGGAGCAACGCCGCGUGAGUGAUGAAGGCCUUCGGGUCGUAAAGCUCUGUUAUUAGGGACGAAUGUACCUUAUGUGAACAAUGUGAGGUAGUGACGGUACCUAAGGAGGAAGCCACGGCUAACUACGUGCCAGCAGCCGCGGUAAUACGUAGGUGGCAAGCGUUGUCCGGAAUUAUUGGGCGUAAAGCGCGCGUAGGUGGGAUCAUAAGUCUUAUGUAAAAGUGCGGGGCUCAACCCCGUAAAGCGUGAGAAACUGUGAUUCUUGAGUGCAGGAGAGGAAAGCGGAAUUCCCAGUGUAGCGGUGAAAUGCGUAGAUAUUGGGAGGAACACCAGUGGCGAAGGCGGCUUUCUGGACUGUGUCUGACACUGAGGCGCGAAAGCUAGGGGAGCGAACG
rnacentral:rRNA from 1 species